rnacentral:misc_RNA from 1 species
GAUGAAGAACGCAGCGAAAUGCGAUACGUAGUGUGAAUUGCAGAAUUCAGUGAAUCAUCGAAUCUUUGAACGCACAUUGCACCUCUCGGUAUUCCGGGAGGUAUGCCUGUUCGAGCGUCAUUUGUACCCUCAAGCUCUGCUUGGUGUUGGGUGUUUGUUCCGCCUCUGUGUGUGAACUCGCCUCAAAACAAUUGGCAGCCGGCGUACUUGUUUCGGAGCGCAGCACAUUUUGCGAUCCAGAUCAACGUACAGCGGCAUCCAAGAAGCCUUAUUUAACGCUCUUGACCUCCGAUCAGGUAGGGAUACCCGCUGAACUUAAGCAUAUCAAUAACGGAGGA